GCCACUUCCUUCCCUGGAGAAAACGGAGAUGAGAGAGAGAGAGAGAGAGAGAGAAGGGGGGAAAAGCCCAGAGAAGAGGAGUAGACGGCUGGCCUGCGUGAGGCGGCUCUCCCGACGGCAGACGAGGCAGGAGGCCGCGGAUCCGGCUGCUCCAGCGUGGAUCCGGUGGCGCGGCGGACGGAUCGAGGCGGAGGAGCACGAGGCCGACGAAGAGGUGGCCGAAGAUGGCGGGCGGGGUGCUGCGGGGGUUGUCAAUGGCGAAAAUUGAGAGAGAAGGAGAGGGAAAAGCCGAGUGAGAGGAGGAACAGGGGCGGCUACUGGCUGGCCUGCUUCAAGCGGCUCGGGGCACCAUCUCCGGGUGCGGUUGGAGGAGGCACCUCAUGCGAGCGAGGGAAGGGACGGCCUGGGCGGUCACAAGGGACGAGGACAUGCUCUCCUGCUCUCAUGGCCAAGGAAAAAGGAAAGAACUGAAAGGUAGGAGAAGGAGAGAAGAUAAGGUUGGAGGAGGGAUAGACAUCGGUGGGAGUUUGGGGUCAGAUGAAACGCGUCAUCUGCGCGAGAUGGUCG
rnacentral:rRNA from 1 species